rnacentral:rRNA from 1 species
UACGAAGGGGGCUAGCGUUACUCGGAAUUACUGGGCGUAAAGCGUGCGUAGGCGGCUUAGUAAGUUGGAAGUGAAAUCCUGGAGCUCAACUCCAGAAUUGCUUUCAAUACUGCUAGGCUAGAGAUUUAUAGGGGAUAGCGGAAUUCCUAGUGUAGAGGUGAAAUUCGUAGAUAUUAGGAGGAACACCGAAAGCGAAAGCGGCUAUCUGGGUAAAUACUGACGCUGUUGCACGAAAGCGUGGGGAGCAAACAGG